rnacentral:rRNA from 1 species
AUAUCAAUAAGCGGAGGAAAAGAAACCAACAGGGAUUGCCCUAGUAACGGCGAGUGAAGCGGCAACAGCUCAAAUUUGAAAUCUGGCGUCUUCGGCGUCCGAGUUGUAAUUUGCAGAGGGCGCUUUGGCAUUGGCAGCGGUCCAAGUUCCUUGGAACAGGACGUCACAGAGGGUGAGAAUCCCGUACGUGGUCGCUAGCCUUUACCGUGUAAAGCCCCUUCGACGAGUCGAGUUGUUUGGGAAUGCAGCUCUAAAUGGGAGGUAAAUUUCUUCUAAAGCUAAAUACUGGCCAGAGACCGAUAGCGCACAAGUAGAGUGAUCGAAAGAUGAAAAGCACUUUGGAAAGAGAGUUAAAAAGCACGUGAAAUUGUUGAAAGGGAAGCGCUUGCAGCCAGACUUGCCUGUAGUUGCUCAUCCGGGUUUUUACCCGGUGCACUCUUCUAUAGGCAGGCCAGCAUCAGUUUGGGCGGUUGGAUAAAGGUCUCUGUCACGUACCUCCUCUCGGGGAGAACUUAUAGGGGAGACGACAUACAACCAGCCUGGACUGAGGUCCGCGCAUCUGCUAGGAUGCUGGCGUAAUGGCUGUAAGCGGCCCGUCUUGAAACACGGACCAAGGAGUCUAACAUCUAUGC